ACGAAAGGCGCGCGGGUAAAAAAUCCGCGUACUUGACGGUACCUCCAAAGGAAGCGCCGGCUAACUCCGUGCCAGCAGCCGCGGUAAUACGGAGGGCGCAAGCGUUGUUCGGAGUCACUGGGCGUAAAGCGCGUGCAGGCGGCUUGGUAAGUCGGGUGUGAAAUCCCGGAGCUCAACUCCGGAACUGCACCCGAUACUGCCUCGCUAGAGUCCCGGAGAGGAUGGCGGAAUUUCCGGUGUAGAGGUGAAAUUCGUAGAUAUCGGAAGGAACACCAGCGGCGAAGGCGGCCAUCUGGACGGUGACUGACGCUCAGACGCGAAAGCGCGGGGAGCAAACAGGAUUAGAUACCCUGGUAGUCCGCGCUGUAAACGUUGGGUGCUAGGCGUCGUGGGUAUUGACCCCCGCGGUGCCGAAGCUAACGCAUUAAGCACCCCGCCUGGGGAGUACGGUCGCAAGACUA
rnacentral:rRNA from 1 species